rnacentral:misc_RNA from 1 species
AAGUCGUAACAAGGUUUCCGUAGGUGAACCUGCGGAAGGAUCAUUAACACUUUAAUGAGUCCAAACCAUUGGAUUUCAACCAACCCGUACGAACCUAUUUUCAUUCCGGUUAUUCUGCGUGUUUCUGUGAUGCUUCUUUCUUUUCGUAAGAGAGCACGCAUACAGAAAAAGCAAGUAACCCGUCCCUGUAAACAUUUUCUCUAACGAUUUUGAACUCAACUGACUAAAACUUUUUUUGCAUUACUGCUGGGGGAAACCUCAUCUGGUAAUUCAAAUCAAAAACAUAACGCGAAACAACUC